GUAUCUUGACUGUGCAAAGGUAGCAUAAUCACUUGCUUCUUAAUUAGGAGCUGGAAUGAAAGAGGCGACGAAAUCUAGACUAUUUAAGUUUUAAUAUAAAUUGACAGGCGGGUCAAAAGGCCCGCAUACACCAGGGGGACGAUAAGACCCUAUAAAACUUUACUUUCGGGCCGACGCCCUGCGGGAGGGAGAGUGUCUGAGAGUUUGACUGGGGCGGUUAUUAUAGAAACAAUUAUAGAUAAAAUAUAUUAUAUAGACGGGUAGAACUCUCUAGAGAAAUAGAACAAGUUACUUUAGGGAUAACAGCGCGAUCCCCUCAG
rnacentral:rRNA from 1 species